rnacentral:rRNA from 1 species
UACGUAGGGUGCAAGCGUUAAUCGGAAUUACUGGGCGUAAAGCGUGCGUAGAUGGUCUUUUAAGUCGGAUGUGAAAGCCCCGGGCUCAACCUGGGAACGGCAUCCGAUACUGGGAGACUAGAGUGCGGUAGAGGAGAGCGGAAUUCCCGGUGUAGCGGUGAAAUGCGUAGAGAUCGGGAGGAUCAUCCGUGGCGAAGGCGGCUCUCUGGACCAGCACUGACGUUGAGGCACGAAAGCGUGGGGAGCAAACAGG